rnacentral:rRNA from 1 species
GACGAACGCUGGCGGCGUGCUUAACACAUGCAAGUCGAACGGAAAGGCCCUGCUUGCAGGGUGCUCGAGUGGCGAACGGGUGAGUAACACGUGGGUGAUCUGCCCCUUACUUUGGGAUAAGCCUGGGAAACUGGGUCUAAUACUGGAUAGGACCAUGCUGUAGGUGGUGUGGUGGAAAGAUUAGUUUCGGUAAGGGAUGAGCUCGCGGCCUAUCAGCUUGUUGGUGGGGUAAUGGCCUACCAAGGCGUCGACGGGUAGCCGGCCUGAGAGGGUGGACGGCCACAUUGGGACUGAGAUACGGCCCAGACUCCUACGGGAGGCAGCAGUGGGGAAUAUUGCACAAUGGGCGCAAGCCGGAUGCAGCGACGCCGCGUGGGGGAUGACGGCCUUCUGGUUGUAAACUCCUUUCAGCCAUGACGAAGCCCUUGUGGUGACGGUAGUGGUAGAAGAAGCACCGGCUAACUACGUG